GAACUGCGAUAAGUAAUGUGAAUUGCAGAAUUCAGUGAAUCAUCGAAUCUUUGAACGCACAUUGCGCCUCUCGGUAUUCCGGGAGGCACGCCUGUUCGAGCGCCAUUACAAACUCCAAGCGUGGCUUGAUGUUGGGCGAUGUCUUUUUGCGAGAGCGGAGACACGCCUGGAACGCGUUGGCGCCGCCGCCGGACCACGAGCGUAGCAAGACGAGAGUCAAUCGCAUCGAUUUGGUUUCCGACGGAGGUCCGCCUUUGGAUUGGAUCUUGGAUUGGAUCUACCCAUCCACAAGUUUGGCCUCGGAUCAGGCGGGGAUACCCGCUGAACUUAAGC
rnacentral:misc_RNA from 1 species